rnacentral:lncRNA from 1 species
UGUCUUUAUUUCCAGGAGUAGACUUCAAAAUACGUGCCAGAAAUGGACAAUUUGAGUGUCCUUUCUCCACAUCAAAUGCGAGCUGGAAGGGGGAUUAAAAACCAACCACGUGGUAGAUCUGGUUUUAUACUUUGCAACCUCCAGCUCCAUUUAUGUUCUUUACCCUGCUCAGGGAAGAUUAGCCUCUAGAUGGAUGUGUCUGAGGGAUCACCUCGGGGGCAGAUCUGCAUGUAGAAACCGGUUUUUGUCAUGGCUGGAAGAGAGCUAUGACCCAGCAGAGCCCUCCAUCCGAGCGGCUCCCCCAGCAUCGCAGGAGCUGCUGAGCGCUCCUGCACAGGAAGCUUUGUGAAGGCAACAGCUUGGAAGGGGAAGAUCUUCAGAUCUUUCCCCCUUCUUCUCCUCGUCCCUGGCCUGUGAGUGAUUCAGUGUCCCAAACCUUAACUUUCUGUUACCACCUUCUUCCUCUUAAUCUCCUUCAUCUUCAACACCUCCUCCUCUAUCACUAUCAUCUUCUCCUCCAUCUGUCUGCCUGCUGGAUUUCUCUCGCUUGCUUGCUUUCCCCCCUCCUCUUCCACCUCCCUCCUCUUUCUUCUUGCCUUUUCCUUCUCUCUUUUCUUCUCUUUUCUUUCUCUUUUUCCUCCUCUUCCCCUACACGUUGUUGUUGUUGUUAGAAAGGAUUCUUGCACCCCCUGGUGCUCUUGCGUUUUGUGUGGUUGGAGAGGAGAUUGUCUUCUUUCUCUCUCUCCCUCUGGUUGCUCAUUAUUCAGAGAGAGACACAGAGGGUGAGAGAGAGAGAGAGAGAGAGACGGAUAUCUCAGGUCAUCUGCAGCUGCAGCAAACCAGUGAAGGAGAGAGAGAGAGAGGGAGAGGGAGAGAGAGAGAGGGGGGGAAAAGCAGGGAAAGAUGGCGAUCCUCCAUUGCUGAGACCUGGCAAGGAGCACAUGAGACUCACAAAACAACUUCCACAACAAUAACAAGAAGAGCUAGGCAGAGAGGAAGAGGAGAGGAGAGGAGAGGAGAGGAGGCAGCAGCAAGAGCAGCAGUGCCGGGACACUCCUUUCCAGUUCUGGAAGGGUUCUUUCAAGAUUCAGAACUCUGUAUGGCAGCAGUCUGACUGAAGGAGCUAGAAGCCAAUGCGAGAAGAAAGGAGAUCAGGAAUGAAGAAGGAGAAAGAUGUUGAAGCUGUUCCCCUUGUUUUUGGAAUGAGUGACUAUUUUAACCUGUAAAUAACACUCUGACUAGUGGUGUCCCAUGAUGAAAUGCAAGUAAAGAUAAUAUAAGAUAUAAAAAGACUACUUCUUCUUGACAAACCACUUUUUCUCAAUUUCUCUCCCAUAUUCUGUGUCAAAUCUUUUCUCCCAGGCACGGUGCAAGUCCUCUUGUCUUCAUCUUGAACAUUUCCCUUCUAGUAAUCAAGCCUACAGAUAUAGACCCUGUCUGCUCAGCUGUAAAGUAAACAAUACUUUUUUUCUUUUUUGACAGUGAACCUUCACUGCCGAAAUGAUCUUGUAGCUCAGGUGGCUUAUAUUAUAUCAGUAUUGCAACAUAUCUGAAGGGCAGGCUCUCCAGGGAGGGUGAACCAUAGCACCAGCCCCUGAUUAGCAUGUCUGGGUUCUGCUUCUUUCAGCCUCUGAGAUCUGGGAGAUCCACUGCAGGUUCUGCUUUCAGGUGGGGAGAAACUUACUCCUGUUUCAACCCUCAACCUCAUAAUAAAAGGCUGUAGUGAUCCACAUAAAGGUCUGGUCCUCAGCUGGGGAAAACUGGCAGAACUCCAGCAAAUUUCUAGAAAUAAAAACCUAGAGAAGUUUCUAAAACCACAGCAGUUGCUGGGACUUGCACAAUAUUCUACAGCUUGCAACAAUAGAGCAGCAUGGAGCUGGGAUAACACUGACAGCUUGAUAUUUUUUGUGAUCUCUUGAGAUUUUUUUGUGAGAAUGAAAAUCUUCAGGCGAGAACUUUGCUCCUGUUCUCUUGGUGGCAUUGACUUGGGUGGCUUUGUUUUUCUUUGAAAACUGAUAGCAGAAGGUUAUCCAACCUUCAGGAGUGGAGCCAUUAUAUGUGGGGCAGUGCAACAGGAGCCAACGUUUAAAAAUAAAAUACCAGGCUGCCUUCCUGAGGAUCCAGACAUAGCAAACACACACGCACACACAUACGCAGGACCUUGGCUCGCCAUGGUUGUAUCAGUUACAGAGCCCAGAGCAGCAGACAAUGAGAGGGAGCCUUGUUCCUCAAAAAGAAAGAGGAAGAAAUACAAGGCUUCUGUAGCCUCAGAUGCCAGUUUCUGGUGUGCAGGGGAGCCCCUCAGCAGCAGCAGCAGGUUGGGGGACAGACAGCUGCCCGCCAUUCCUGGUGAUGCCUGCUGUAGGCUCUGCCCAGCCCUCCCUUCCCUCUCCCACAUUUUCUCUGAUCUGCUGAGUUAGGGGUCUGAGCUGGGCAGUCUGUUUUUGAGAAUGUGCUCCCUUCUUAAAAGAGAAAAGCAGUGGCUUUUAUGUCAUACUUUUAAUGUCAGUGCUAAGUGACCAGGAUGACAAACACCUUCAGAGGAAAGGAAGGACCAGCUAUUUUGGCUUCAGAGCCAUGUUGCUGGCAUGUCGGACUGUAGAAAUAGCAAAUGAUCAGAUCAUCUUUCUAGAACACCUGGAGAAUGAGAGGCAUACAGAGGAGGUAGCGGACAGACCAGGAAGAAUAAUUUGUGAUAGAAAAGCAGAAAGGCUACAGAGGAGGUAGCGGACAGACCAGGAAGAACAAUUUGUGAUAGAAAAGCAGAAAGGUAUGGCUUAGUGCCAGGAAUACAGCUUGGAAAGUGAGGUAAGUUAUGUUAGAAAGGAAUGGUCUUUUGAAAGAAAGGGUGACUCUACUCAGACAAACAAGUCUAGGAACCUAGGAAGAUACAAUUCUUCAUUAGUUGUGAAUGUGGAGAGGGAUGAAGAAGGUGAAGGAUUUAACCCUUCUUUGCCUGCUGAUCCCACACCAACUCCCAUCGUGAUUGUGCGCUGGGCUGGCCAGGGUGGGAAACCGGGUUCCUCCAAGGUCUGGGUGUGGAGCAGCUGGGAUUGUCCUUCUCUCAGGUGUCACUGGCAGAAACUGUGUGCAGGAGGCAGCUGUGCACAGCCUUAUCUGCCCGUGCCCCACCUCAGGUGUGCUGGAAGAUUGGAGCCCAUGCUUUUGGCUGUGUGGUGUGCCCAGAUGCACCUCGAAAUAAAUGCAAACUUGAGUUUUUAGCCAGGUGUCUUCUUAGUGCACCAAGAAUGUUUGUUUCUGUAUCUCAGCUGGCAGCUGCAAGCAGGAAAAAAAUAAAAGAACAAAACAAAAAACACCCAAAGAAGAGGUGUUUUUCCUCAUCUCUGCCCAGGAAAAGUGGCAGUCACAGCUGCUCAUGACACAAUUGGCCUUUGGCAGAGCUCAGGCUGGUUCUGCUUUGCAGACAUAGGAUGAAGCAUGCUCAGUGUGCUUCCUUUCAGCAGGAAUGCCAGCAGUAUCUUGGGACUACUACAGAGGCUGCUCUGUAUCUGUAAGCUCCUUUUGCAGAGUUUGGGUUCACAUGAAACGUGAUCAGGAGUCCUUGGUAGGCUGUGCAUGGCUCUGAGCACAGAGCCUUUUGGAAAGAUGUGCUUUCUUAGACAUCCAGACUCUCAGUAUGGAACACUUAUUUUAUAAAAAAAAAGUAUUUUCAGAAAAAUCACAGUAGCUUCGCAUACUAUGGUUGAACAUAGGCUGAAGGUGAUGUGUAACCUAAAGGUUUUGUAGGAUGUGAUUCUCAUGCAAUCUAAGCAUUUUAAAAAAAUCUAUAAAAUAACUGUGUCUUGCCUGUGGUGAUGUACAAACAAUGAAGGAUAGGUGCAACUGUCAGCAUGUGAAAACUCACUGCUUGGUUUGCUGCUGUCAUAAAUUUUGUUCAGCCGGGGUGGAGUGGAGGUGUUCACAGGCUUUGUGGAUCCAGCUAGCAUGUGUGAAAGAGAGGUCUGAUUAAAUCAAACUUCCUCUUCUAUGGUCUUGAAUACCUCCUGCUUAAAAAAAAGAUACUGAGGAAGACCCAAAGAGUUCCUCUUGCAGGUGUCUUUAUGAAGGUGCUAUAAAGGAGACUCUCUCUGAUGACUGCUAGUAAGUGUUGAUGAGGUUUUGUCCAGAUUACUUGCUGGAACAGAAUUAAUAUUAUGUUGAUGAUUAUUUAGAAGAGUUUGGGAAGAAAGAUUCAGCAGUUUGGGCAAAGUCUUAUUAAGAAAUAAGCCUCUCACAUCAUCCAAGAAUUUAAGUUUUAUUAGCUGUCAGCCCUGCAGAAUAAAUAUUCUUUCUCACCCACAUAUAAAGCUCCCCUAAAAAACAAGUUUUUUUUUCCCAUGUGCAUCUUCCACUGCAAUAUCAAGAAAUAUGAGGGUUAGACCAUGUUCACCAACCCUGAACUCCAUCUACACUGUAAUUCUUCUCUGCAGCUCUGGAGACAUUUUGCCGAGUUGACCUAAAUUCUUCAGCAAAAGGUCUGGAUUCUGUGCAGAAAAGUGGAAAUGGCAACUCCAGCUAGAAAAUAAAUACAAAGAUAAAUAAAGAGCAUCAGUUGUACCCCUGUGUGUGGUGUUUUGAUUUACCCUUCCUUCUGUAAUUACAACUUCUGCCCAUGCUGGAGAGCUUUUUCAUUUCUUCUUCUUGUGGAAUGUUAGGACUGGGAUUCCAGGGACAGUGACACAGGAAGGUAGUGUGGCCUCACAGGGAAAGUCUGGAGUCUGGAAAGCCAUUUGUGCUGCUGGCUGUGCCACAGACCAGCUGUGUGACCUGGAGCCAGGCUGCCUCACUUUUUUGUGGUUCUCUACUACAAGGUAAAGGAAGAAGGUUUUUCUGUGGUGCAGACUCACACAACUUCCUUUUCACACAGAGCCCACCAGCAAGUGCAGCCUGAACUUCAUGAAUCAAAUAAAUAGGUUGUGACUGGAUGGAAUAGACUGUCAGUAUUUCUGCCUGAAAUACUUACAUGUGCCUGUUAGUUUCUUACGUGCAACUUAAAAUCAUGAGCCUUCAGAUUUCAUUUUGAAUUUGCAGCCAUUUGAAACCAGGGAGAUACUUCAGUCUUUGGUCUCUCUAAGAGCAAGUCACUUCUGCUGACUUUAAUGACCUGUCUGUGAUAAAUGAAUGGAAACCUGAAACAUAUGAUUCUGUCUUUUGUCAUGCUCCAGUGUUCCAUAAACAGC